UACGUAGGGGGCGAGCGUUGUCCGGAUUUAUUGGGCGUAAAGAGCUCGUAGGCGGUUUGGUAAGUCGGGUGUGAAAUCUCCAGGCUCAACCUGGAGAGGUCACCCGAGACUGCCAUGACUAGAGUCCGGUAGGGGUGUGUGGAAUUCCUGGUGGAGCGGUGAAAUGCGCAGAUAUCAGGAGGAACACCAGUGGCGAAGGCGGCUCACUGGCCCGGUACUGACGCUGAGGUGCGAAAGCGUGGGGAGCAAACAGG
rnacentral:rRNA from 1 species